AGUCAGUCUGUAAAUCGACCUCAAACAAAUUGCAACAGAAAAUAUUUUACCUGGUAUAGAAAGUAUAUGGAGUAACAUGAAUCAUAUCAAAAGUCUAGCAAAAUCUAAGUUGCGCAACAUAGAAAAAAACGGGUUUUUAUCGCGUUAUUUUUUGUGAUUUUUUUCUGACGUCAACGGUCUUCCAUAGGCGAACAAAGCGUCUCCGAUUCUCAGAAUAGCGACUGCAUAAUGGCGACAACAACAACAAAAUUAGUGUAAACAAAAUAAAUGUCAGUAAAGUACACUGUAAAGUGGGUUGGUAUAUUUUCCUUAAAAUAUUACAGAUCAUAAUAGCAAUUAUUAAUGUGGGGUCGAAAGUUUAUUAUGAGUAUUUGUUGAAAAUUAUUACUUGUUUUACCAGUUCUUUAUCCGUUGAAGGUCAACAGGUGUUUCAAGCGAUCUGUAUUAUACUUUUCAUGGAAAACAGUUUAAGUUAUAUAAAUUACAACUCUGAUUAACUCCUGUCUUAGUAAACAUUCAAAAACGGCCUAAAAAUGUGUAUUUAAAACAAGUUAAUUUCGACAGUAUUUUUAAACUAUGGAACGCCAUUAUCACUUUAAUUAUGACGUAUUACGUUAAAUAAAUUCUGAAUACUUUAAUCAUGUUUUAUUGUUAAAUGUGUAUUCAAGGUUGUUUUUUUUUUGUAUUUUUUAAUAGUUUUUUAAAAUUGCUUUACAUAUAUAAUGUAUGUAAUGUUAUUAUUAUUUCAGGGGUACCGCUUUGAGGUAGUCUUCAUUGAUGUAUGCUUGAUUUUGAAAAUUAAAAAAAUCCAGUAAACUAUAUGUACACUAAAUGAAUUUCAUCAACACACAAGAGCCAAUGGGUAUGCCCGAUCUUGAAAGUGUUCUGAGGACACUGUGAUGUAUACGAGUUAAAGAGGAACUCCUGUCGGAUUUGUUAACGGCUGUUUAAUGAUCAUACAAAGACAGUUAAAGGCAACGAAAAGGAAUGCAAGGGAAUAAAUGCUGCCAGUGAGAAAUAAAAUGACAGUUUAAAAGUUGAAUCGGAAUAAUAUAUUCACAUUGAGUGUAGAAAGAUGUACUUUAACCAACAUUACACUAAAAGAGACACUAAGACAGAAAAAGAAAACACUGAUGCCACUAUUGAGAUCAAUGACUGAUAAGUUUUCAUACAAAAAAUAUUGUUUAUAUAGUGGUCAAUCUUUAAUAAGUAAGGGUAAAACAAGGAAGUGUGAUGUUUCGCCAGUAAGGACACCAGAACCUACUGUUUUGAAUAUAUGUAUACAGAGGAAUGACUGUUUGUCUGAUACAGUGAGAGCAAGGAUAGAACAGGUUCACAGAUGCUCUUUACCAUCAAACAUGUUUA